rnacentral:rRNA from 1 species
GGCCUGGCUGGGUGGUCCGCCUCACGGCGUGUACUGUUCGGCUGGGUCUUACCUCUUGGUGAGGCGGCAUGCCCUUUACUGGGUGUGUCGCGGAACCAGGACUUUUACCUUGAGAAAAUUAGAGUGUUCAAAGCAGGCCUAUGCCCGGAUACGUUAGCAUGGAAUAAUAAAAUAGGACGU